UACGGGGGGGGCAAGCGUUGUUCGGAAUUACUGGGCGUAAAGGGUUCGUAGGUGGCCAACUAAGUCAGACGUGAAAUCCCUCAGCUUAACUGGGGAACUGCGUCUGAUACUGGUUGGCUUGAGUGCAGGAGAGGAAUGCGGAAUUCCAGGUGUAGCGGUGAAAUGCGUAGAGAUCAUGAGGAAGACCAGUGGCGAAGGCGGGUCUCUGGACAGUUCCUGACACUGAGACACGAAGGCCAGGGGAGCAAACGGG
rnacentral:rRNA from 1 species